GGGAGCGCAGCCCGCGGCCACCGGGGCCCUGGGAGCAGAGUUGGCCUUUUAGGAAGCUCUCGGGCAGCUAGAGACUCGCACCAGGAAGGGAGGGGGGCCUGGAAAGCUGGGUGGCUGCCGCAGGAGCGCAAGGGGGAAGGAGCGGGGAAGGAGCAGGGGCGCGGCUGGAGGGGAAGGUGCUGCUGCUGCGGGGACACUCCGAAGGGGGCCCGCCCCCGCCCGCCGCCUCCGCCGCCCGCCUCUGGGGAGCGCUCUCGCCGCCCUGCGGCUCCCGGGCCCUCGGCUGCCCGCCGGGGAGCCCCGCCCCUUGCCCCCUGCCCCCGGCGCGCGCUUCCCUUCCCUUCCCUUCCCUCCCGCCACCCGCGCCCCGCCCCGCCCCGCCCCGCCCCGCCCGCACAGUCGGCCCGGCCCCCACGGCCACCUCCACGGGCAGCCCGGCAGCCGGGCAGCUGUCCGUCGCGUGAGCGAGGAGCCCGUGGCGGCCAGCCUCCCGUCAGGAGGUCCCGGCUGGGCUGGGCCGAGCCCGCACGCGCCAGGGCGCCAGGGCGCCAGGGCCGACGAGGAAGGGCAGGGGGUGCGGGGGGUCGGGUCGACGGCGGGCAGGACGGGCCCCCGCGGUCGCCCCGCGCCUCUGGCCGCACGGGGCCGGGCGGAGGCACAAGGGAGGGGAAGCAGGACAAGGAGGAGAAGGAGGAGAAGGAGGAGAAGGAGGGCCCUGGGGGCCGGCGUACGUUUGGGCAGCGCGGCGGCGGCGCCCGCGACCAAAAGAGGGCGUGUCUCGCCUCCCCGUCGGGGAAUCGAACCCCGGUCUCCCGCGUGACAGGCGGGGAUACUCACCACUAUACUAACGAGGACGGCGGCGGCGGCCGCCCGGGCGCCCGACCCCUCUCCGCCCGCCAGCCCGCCGGCCUGCCUGCCCACGC
rnacentral:lncRNA from 12 species